GACAGAGGGUGCGAACGUUGCUCGGAAUUACUGGGCGUAAAGGGCGCGUAGGCGGGAUGGCAAGUCGGUCGUGAAAUCCUUCGGCUCAACCGAAGAACGUCGAUCGAUACUGCUGUUCUUGAGGGUUGCAGAGGAGACUGGAAUUCCCGGUGUAGCGGUGAAAUGUGUAGAGAUCGGGAGGAACACCGGUGGCGAAGGCGGGUCUCUGGGCAAUUCCUGACGCUGAGGCGCGAAAGCGUGGGGAGCAAACGGG
rnacentral:rRNA from 1 species